AUUGAACGCUGGCGGCAGGCCUAACACAUGCAAGUCGAGCGAGCGGCGGACGUGUGAGUAAUGUCUGGGAAACUUCCUGAUGGAGGGGGAUAACUACUGGGAACGGUAGCUAAUACCGCAUACCAUCAGAUGUGCCCAGAUGGGAUUGGGUCGUAGGUGGGGUAAUGGCUCACCUAGGCGACGAUCCCUAGCUGGUCUGAGAGGAUGACAAGGCACACGGGAACUGAGACACGGUCCAGACUCCUACGGGAGGCAGCAGUGGGGAAGAUUGCACAAUGGGCGCAAGCCUGAUGCAGCCAUGCCGAGUGUGUGAAGAAGGCCUUCGGGUUGUAAAGCACUUUCAGCGAGGAGGCGUUACUCGAAGAAGAAGCACCGGCUAACUCCGUGCCAGCAGCCGCGGUAAUAC
rnacentral:rRNA from 1 species